ensembl:lncRNA
CCCAAUCACAGAAGUUCUAUUCUUGGGAGUAGUAUAUCCAAAAAAGGCAGACCAGACUGGAAAUGUGAACUACUGCUGUCAAUUAGCAUCUAGCGCAAACCAGGGCAGCUAAUAAAACUCAGAGGAAAUUUGCACAGAUGCUGCUUUGGAGAACUUGACAACCUGGGUUGCAGAACUGAGCCUUGGUAAACCUGUCUCUAUUACAGCGUGUUGCCAUGCAUCUAAGUGCAUAAGGUCUUUGGCCUUCAAGAUCCAGUGACCUUACACAGGAAUGCUUAGCACGUUUACCAUACAUUUAAAAUCUGUUCUUUAGCAAUCAGUCCUUUUAUAGCUUUCUAAGUUCUUAUUAAUGGUUAAUACGCAAGAAUUAAUUUUUAAUAUCUUAAUUGAUUUCUUUAAUCAGUUUCUCAACUUGUAUUUAUUAAACACUCAAACUCAGUAUUACCUACUCAAUGCCUUUUAAAAGAAAGUUAUAAUGGAGAAAAAAGUUGAGCCUUAAACAAAUGGUUACUUCUGUAUAUUACCUCGUACCAGUGCUUCAUCCAUCCUAUUUGUAAAAUCUUUCUCCUUUAAAUGGUUGGUUGAUAUUUUGAGACUUUGUUUACGUGUGGCAGUGUUGUAAAAAGAAACUAAAGAUCACAUUUUACCUGUAUGGAUGGAAUAUCCCUUUCUUCAAGUACAGUUUGUGAUGUUUUGUAAUUAACAUAUUCUGAAACUUAAAAUUGAUAUUGGAAAUUGACUGUAUUUAGUUGAAGAGUUAAGUAUUCGAUUCCAUUAGGUUUUCACAUGUGUUAAUCUCAUUUACAGCAUUGAAUUGUGGCAGUAACAUUUUCCUUUCUGUGAAGUUCUAAAUUUAGUUAUGACCUACUUAGUAAUGCUUUUGAAAAGGGAUAUUGUAUCCAUGGUAAAUUAAUUGCAUACCUAAACAGAGAUAGCUCAGCUUUGCCUGUCAGGCUUGUAAUUGACAUCUAGUAGACUUCUGCACAUGUAAAAUUGAAUUCAAGUAAAGUCAUGUAUACUUUCUAGUUCUUAAUAUUUAUCUUUCUGAAUAAUAGUUUAAAGCAAUAUUUGUUAAAGUUUUCUUGCACUAUCACAAUUGCUUUUUAGUUAUUUCUCAAGAAGCAUGUUCGUAGUAGAGACAAAAUCUGUGUAACAGGAGGGAGAAUAGCACCGAGUCUCUGGGCUAUUUUUUAUUUUUGCAAAUGUGCAUUGUAAUAGCCAUUGCCUUCCAUGUUGUUUACCUAAUCAGCACAUUUUGUCUGAAUACUUGAACAUUUUAACAGUAACACAGGUAUAGAAACACAAAGGAAACUUAUAAAGAGUAAUCUUUUGGUUCAUUUUCAGCAUCAUGACAAUGAGCGCUUUUUCUAGCAAUGAUUUUUCAAUUGUGUAAGUUUGACAGUAUUUUGUUGUUAGGUUUUUAUUUGGUUUUAUUUGUGCUUUUAAUUUGCAGACGUUAGUAACCGCAGCUCACCUACUGCACCAAAGUUCUCGAUUUUAGGAGCCCAGCUUUAGUCAUUUGAACAUGCUUCUAAGUAAAAUGAAACAAAAAAACCAAAACUAUACUUUUGACUUAUAAUAAUAGCUCAAUAACUUUGUCAAGGAAAGCUCUUAAUAUAUGCAGUGAUGGUUUAUGGAAGGGUGUGGCAAGUUUUGAAUUUAUAUUGUGUGUGAUGUUCAAAUAAAGUGAUAUCUACAUUCAUGUGACUUAUUGGUCAGCAUGACCAUUAAUUAUUGAAUAGAAAUGGAUUAAACUUUGAUUUCCUUUUUUUAAAUCGUGUUGCAUUUGAUUCCUGAUCAAAUUCCCUCAAAAUGAACUCUUAAUUCUUGAAUUUUGAAUUUUAUGGUGAGAUUGUAAAGGUAGAGGCAGUUGAAACAUUGUUCCUUAUUUAUAAAUGGCUUGAAAUGAAUAUUUAAGUUUGCACUUUAAUACCAAACUUAAACCCAGCACUCAUUUCAAAGUAGGUUACGUGAUCAUGAUUCAUCUUUUUAGCUUUGUGAAAUUCUAAAGGAAUCAAAUAAUUCAUGAUGAUUUAAAGUUUCUGCAGAUUGAUUUUUUAAAACAGUAUUUCUUUCCUACGAAUAUUGUCAUCCCUCCUGCCCCCGUCUCUCCCUAUUACAGUGUUCAUUGUCGUUGACCUCAACAGCAAAUUUAACUUGAAUUCACUUAGGAUCGCAGGAAUCAGGGGAAAGUGAUUUUAAAAGUGGUUUCUCCAGCACAUUUUAAGAAAAGGGACCAAAAGUUAUUUUAGCUUCCUCAAUAGAUUGCAUGUUGCCUAUUAGGAUAAUAAAUUAAUAUUAAAUGCAAUAUAUGUCUUGUCUUUACUAUGGCAUCUGUUUAGGAGUUGUUCAAAUCACUGCAGUAGGGCUCUGCAAAUAAAAUCAUGUAACCUUUUGUCAUGGAUCUAAUGUACUGUAACUUUAUCAGUGAACGGUAAAAAUCUCAAAUAACAAGUACAAACAUUGAACAAUUACCUAUAAAGAUUUGUAAAAGUAAAUUUUUUCCAAUAGAUUUCAUUCUUGUCAUUUUGUAAGAUGACCCUGCAGUCCACCUGUUUGUAACUUUUUUAAUAAAAUAGACAUCUGUAUUA